rnacentral:rRNA from 1 species
UACGUAGGGUGCGAGCGUUGUCCGGAAUCACUGGGCGUAAAGGGCGUGUAGGCGGGAAGGAAAGUCGGGCGUGAAAUCCCUGGGCUCAACCCAGGAACUGCACUCGAAACUUCUUUUCUUGAGUGCCGGAGAGGAAAGCGGAAUUCCUGGUGUAGAGGUGAAAUUCGUAGAUAUCAGGAGGAACACCGGUGGCGAAGGCGGGUCUCUGGGCCGAAAUUGACGCUGAGGAGCGAAAGCGUGGGGAGCAAAGCAGG